AUUGAACGCUGGCGGCAGGCUAACACAUGCAAGUCGAGCGGCAGCGGGAAAGUAGCUUGCUACUUUUGCCGGCGAGCGGCGGACGGGUGAGUAAUGCCUGGGAAAUUGCCCAGUCGAGGGGGAUAACAGUUGGAAACGACUGCUAAUACCGCAUACGCCCUACGGGGGAAAGCAGGGGACCUUCGGGCCUUGCGCGAUUGGAUAUGCCCAGGUGGGAUUAGCUAGUUGGUGAGGUAAUGGCUCACCAAGGGUACGAUCCCUAGCUGGUCUGAGAGGAUGCUCAGCCACACUGGAACUGAGACACGGUCCAGACUCCUACGGGAGGCAGCAGUGGGGAAUAUUGCACAAUGGGGGAAACCCUGAUGCAGCCAUGCCGCGUGUGUGAAGAAGGCCUUCGGGUUGUAAAGCACUUUCAGCGAGGAGGAAAGGUUGAUGCCUAAUACGUAUCAACUGUGUCGUUACUCGCAGAAGAAGCACCGGCUAACUCCGUGCCAGCCGCCGCCGUAACAC
rnacentral:rRNA from 1 species